rnacentral:tRNA from 1 species
UAGAUGAAUGCUCGCUGGCUGGAGCGCUUAGCUGUUAACUAGGAAUUUGUAGGAUCGAGGCCUUCUCAUCUAG